GAUGAUAAAUAGCAACUCCACAGCUUCUAUCUGUAGCAUAGAUAGGCUUUGUUCUUUUGUUCAAUCACCUCUUUGACAUAUAUCAAAAUGAGCAAGCUUCUCCUCCUUGUCUUGUCUCCUCUGCUCUUCUGUGCUGUGGCCCAGGGUCUUUGGUGCUUUAAAGGAGACAAAUGGAAUCCAGGUGUUCCAGGUUCUGAGUGCUUUGCCUGUGGUGAAGAACAAUGUUAUGAAUUUUCUACAUAUAUCUGGAAUAAGCUUUUCUAUUGGGAAUCUGGUUGCACCGGUAUGCCUAAUGAAUAUGAUGACUUUCGUAAGCAAUGCAACACGACAGAAACUGAAAAAGAGAUAACAGAAAAAACCAAAUGCUGCACUACUGAUCGCUGUAAUAGCGGAACACCACCCACUUACAUUUAGCCAUUGCUUUAGAAGGGGCAGUGAUGGGAAGAGAAAUCUGCCAUCUGUGUCUCUCCACUCUGCCCUGCUGCACGCAACAUGCCUUCCAGAGAUCCCUUUCAUCCUGUUGCUUAACGAUAUCUAACUACCCUCAAUAAAC